UACGUAGGGUGCGAGCGUUUAAUCGGAAUUACUGGGCGUAAAGCGUGCGCAGGCGGUUUGCUAAGACCGAUGUGAAAUCCCCGGGCUUAACCUGGGAACUGCAUUGGUGACUGGCAGGCUAGAGUAUGGCAGAGGGGGGGUAGAAUUCCACGUGUAGCAGUGAAAUGCGUAGAGAUGUGGAGGAAUACCGAUGGCGAAGGCAGCCCCCUGGGCCAAUACUGACGCUCAUGCACGAAAGCGUGGGGAGCAAACAGG
rnacentral:rRNA from 1 species